rnacentral:rRNA from 1 species
GAUGAACGCUGGCGGUAUGCUUAACACAUGCAAGUCGAACGGACUCUUCGGAGUUAGUGGCGGACGGGUGAGUAACGCGUGAGAAUCUGGCUUUGGGUUCGGGACAACCACUGGAAACGGUGGCUAAUACCGGAUGUGCCGAGAGGUAAAAGAGAAAUUGCCUGAAGAUGAGCUCGCGUCUGAUUAGCUAGUUGGUGAGGUAAAGGCUCACCAAGGCAGCGAUCAGUAGCUGGUCUGAGAGGAUGACCAGCCACACUGGGACUAAGACACGGCCCAGACUCCUACGGGAGGCAGCAGUGGGGAAUUUUCCGCAAUGGGCGAAAGCCUGACGGAGCAAUACCGCGUGAGGGAAGAAGGCUCUUGGGGUGUAAACCUCUUUUCUUAGGGAAGAACAAAAUGACGGUACCUAAGGAAUCAGCAUCGGCUAACUCCGUG